CACCAGUCAGAUGGGAGUGUUCUUCCUCCUGGCGCUAGGCUUCUGGUUCAGCUCUUAUGAUGAGGAAGUAGGAAGUUGGUCUCUUGUGCUGUGCCCCGUGGGCUCUGCUGUGGGUUGAGUACUGGGCAGCUGCGCCAUGGUGAGCAAGGGGCUUCUGUUCCCAGACCGGGAGGAGUGGCCGGCCAUGUGUGAGAAUAGCAGAACUCUACAUGAAUGUUUACAGACUCCCCACGUAAAAUACCCAUGCUUCUGUUGCUUAGGCAAAGCAUUGCUUUGGAAAUGACUCCCACAUUCUCCUUGCCUCCUUCAGGCUUUUAACUCCUCUACCAGAAUCCCCAGUUCUAAUGGGUUGGACUUGUCAAUGAUGGCUGAAUCCCACUUCAUAUUUUUGUGGCUGACAGCACUUGGGUAUACUUGUGAGAGAUUAUUCUUAAUUAAAAUUUUGAAAUGGGAAGACCCUUCAUUAAUCUGGAUCUUCAAGGUAAUUUGAUCCACCUUUAAUCUUGGCCAGACCUUCUGGUGGCAGCCUAUAUAUAUAUA